UACGAAGGGGGCUAGCGUUGCUCGGAAUUACUGGGCGUAAAGCGCACGUAGGCGGAUCUUUAAGUCAGGGGUGAAAUCCUGGAGCUCAACUCCAGAACUGCCUUUGAUACUGAGGACCUUGAGUUCGGGAGAGGUGAGUGGAACUGCGAGUGUAGAGGUGAAAUUCGUAGAUAUUCGCAAGAACACCAGUGGCGAAGGCGGCUCACUGGCCCGAUACUGACGCUGAGGUGCGAAAGCGUGGGGAGCAAACAGGAUUAGAAACCCUGAGUACG
rnacentral:rRNA from 1 species